UGGAGAGGUGCCAUCGGUCCCCCUCGGCGCCAAAAUCCCUUGGAACGGGGUAUCGGAGAAGGUGAGAAUCCUGUCAAGCGCCGGAGUGGGACCGUACGAUGUGCUCUCGUAGAGUCGGGCUGCUUGGGAGUGCAGCCUGAAGCGGGUGGUAAAUUCCAUCUAAAGCUAAAUACUGGCGGGAGACCGAUAGCGAACAAGUACCGUGAGGGAAAGAUGCAAAGAACUUUGAAAAGAGAGUUAAAGAGUGCUUGAAAUUGGCAGGAGGAAACCCGGUUGCGCGUGGCAUUUGGCGUGUUCGACUCAGCCGCGCGCGGAGAUCUGUAGGGGACCUAAGGCCUCGUGGUCAGCGCGCGCGGUGCACUUCGGCCGCGUCGGUCAGCCGCGUUUCUGCGCGGCCCAUACGGCCGCGGGCAGGGCUUCGGCGCCGCCUGCGGUUUGGGGGUCGCGCGGGAUCCCGGCUGAUGCGCACGGGCGCAACCGACCCGUCUAGAAACACGGACCAAGGAGUCUGACGCGUGUGC
rnacentral:rRNA from 1 species